rnacentral:lncRNA from 1 species
UGGCUCAGGGGGUAAGAGCACCUGACUGCUCUUCCAAAGGUCCAGAGUUCAAAUCCCAGCAACCACAUGGUGGCUCACAACCAUCCGUAACAAGAUCUGACUCCCUCUUCUGGAGUGUCUGAAGACAGCUACAGUGUACUUACAUAUAAUAAUAAAUAAAUCUUU